AGCAAUAUUGCUCUGCAGUCCAAGCAUAGUGCCUUAAUGGUAAUAAGCGUUUUUCUUGUCAGUGGGUUUAAAAUUUCCGAAAGCAAAAAAGAAAAGAAAAAGUUAAAAAAGUCGGAGCACAGUGUCUUACAUCAGAUGCUUUUCUGUUCAGUUGAUUUGAAAUUUCCUAUGUGAGAGAGAAAAUAAAGAAAAAG
rnacentral:ribozyme from 14 species